UACGGAGGGUGCGAGCGUUAUCCGGAAUUACUGGGUUUAAAGGGUGCGUAGGCGGCCAAGUAAGUCAGGAGUGAAAGUUUGCGGCUCAACCGUAAAAUUGCUUUUGAUACUGCUAGGCUGGAAUUAGGAUGAGGUCAGCGGAAUGUGGCAUGUGGCGGUGAAAUGCAUAGAUAUGCCAUAGAACACCAAUUGCGAAGGCAGCUGGCUAGACCUGGAUUGACGCUGAGGCACGAAAGCGUGGGGAGCGAACAGG
rnacentral:rRNA from 1 species